AAACAGCUGUGACAAGUGCCCUCCGACUGGAAGGAAGCUUUUCCAGGCCAGAAGUGUCUGUACCUCGAGUGCUUAGCAUGGUGAUGGACACAGAGGCGGUGCUCAGUAAAGGUCAGCUGGGGGCUCUGUUCCACGUUACUCUCACUCUGGACACCAGGCUGACGUGAGAAACACUAACUGGAGUACCGCUGGUUGCUAUGGAGAGAGAAAGAAGUGGGAGAAUUUGUAUUGGCUCUUAAAAUAUCUGCUCCCAUGUCAUUGGUCAAAGCAGGUCCCGUUCCACAUCUAACUUCAAAGAGGAUAUGGAAGUAUACUCCCAUCACGUGUCUGGAAAGAAGGAAACAGGAUGUUUGUGAAGAGCGUGAGAAUACUACACGACUCUUUCAGUUGCAAAUAACAUAAACCAAAUUUUAAUUGGCCGAAGCAGAAAAGGGAAUUUGCUGACUCACGUAAGUGUAGGGAUUGUUUGGCUUCAAACACGGUUGGAUCUAGAUAGUCAAAGAUGUCUUCAGUGCUCCAUCUCUCUUUUGUCUGGUCCUUAUUCUCAGCUAGCGGCCUCCCAAGUCACGACAGAAACAGCCAUCAGAAAGUUUCACAAUUAUUUUCCAUCAACUAUAAAAAGGAGAGUCUCAGGGCAGUGUGGUGGCAUAGUGGCUGAGUUCGCACACUCCGCUUUGGCAGCCCGGGGUUCACUGGUUCGGAUCCUGGGCAUGGACCUACACACUGCUCAUCAAGCCAUGCUGAGGCAGCAUCCCACAUAGAAGAACUAGAAGGACUUACAAGUAGGAUAUACAACUAUGUACUGGGGCUUUGAGGAGAAAAGAAAAAAUUAUUUAUAAAAAAGGGAGAAUCUCUUCCCACUCUGUUCCACAAAAGUACCUGGAAUGAUUUCCAUUGGCCUAGAUUGAGUCACAUGUCCAUUCCUGGUCCACUCUCUCUGACUCUGAUUAGUCUGGCCUGAUUCAGGUGCCCAGGCUUUUGGAGCUGGGAAGUGAGUCAGCCCCACUUGAAAACUGUGGAUGGAUAAUGGGGGAGGGUUGUCUUCUCCAAAUGAAGAGAUGAUUCCAUUACUAGAAGAAGGGACACUGGGCAGGCCAAAACAAAAGAUAUUCAUCGUGUUCUCUCUUCCCUUUUGUGGUGGGUCAGAUGCACCUGUGAUGGAAUCCUGUUGGAAUGUGUGACCCCAGGCUUAUACCUGCUACCACCCUUCAAUUUAUGCUCAAGGAAAGGCUAGGGCUUACUUCUCUGAGCAAGGUGUGGUGGGGAGGAGCUGCUUAGAAGUGGGCUAUGGAAGAGGAAUGAUCAAAGAUAAGUUGAGAUUGGAGCCCAGAGAGUGAGAGAGCAAUAAUGCCACUAACAGAAAUUGAGGGAUGAGAAGGAGAAUCAAUUUUGGAGGGGAGAGUUGAGCUCUACAUCUUGAAUUUGAAAUGACUGGGAUAUGCACGUAGAGCAAUCCACAGGCAUUUGGAGCUGCAGAAGCAUAACUCUGGAUAAAGGGGAGAGCUAGAUAUUGACUUGAAAAUCAUCUGAUGAUAAGAGGUAGGCUAUCCGGAGGCCUGAGACACCUGAGGGAGAAAAGGAAAGAAAAGAAUGUGGUCUUCCUUGGGAAAUAUCCCCAGCUAGUGGGUGAGACAAGGAAGGGGAGCCACCAAAUGUGACUGAAGAAGAUUGGUUAUAAGGAUGAAAAGGAGAUAAAGGGUAGUUUCUACUUCUCAGAGAUGUCCUCAACUUGCCCAGGGAAAGGAUGAAAAACACUUUCCAUGUCAUUUCCUCUGACCUCACUCUCACUUCUGAUUUUCCUUCUUUUGAUCCCGGAUUGUAUCAUUAUAUCUCUGUGAUCUACAAACACCCCUGCACAUCCAUGUAUAUGAUGAUAUGCUUGAUUAUACUUACAUUUGUUUCUGUAUGUCUUUUGAUUGUCAGUUGCCUGAUUCACCUACUACCUGUUGAUCUAUCCCUGUUUUUACUCAAAAGAUUAUUAGAAGAUGAUGCUAAGCGGAAGUCUUAUCAUAUUGAUUAAAAACCUGAGCUUUCUCAGCAGAACUGGGCUCUAAUCUGUGAUGUCACUUACCACUUUUGUGGCAUAUUUUAAAUUACUCAAGCUCUGAGACUUAAUUUCCUAAUCUGUGAAAUGGGGAUAAUGAUAUCCACUUCCUAGAGUCACAGAAAUGACUAAAUGACAUGACUUAAUUGGAGCUCUUAGCAUAGUGCAUGGCACAUAAAAGUAGCUACCAUAUAUUGAGAAUUUAUUUUCAAUAAUAACGGUAAUAAAGCAGAAAAUUUGAAGCCAUGAAAAGCCUUCAUAAUAUUGUUGAUUAAAAAGGCAGACUGUCAAAUAGCAUUUACAAUAUGACCUCAUUUUUACUAAAACACAUGCACACACACACACAUACACACACACAAACACAAACACAGGACUGGAAGGAUAUAUAGCAAAGUGUAGCAGUGAUAGUAUGGGUAGGAUUACAGGUGAUUUUUGUUUUAUUAUAUUUUACUUUGCUCAUCUGCAGUUAGCUGUAUGUUAUUUUGCUUAUCUGUGAUUCCUGUAGUUUGUACAAUACAUAGCCACUCCUUAUGGAAUAAUAAGAAAACAUGUCUCUAUAAAAGACAGAGAAACAGUGAGUGAUUUUUCUGCAAGACCCAGCAAAGCUGAACUCACAAGAUGCCCUGGGGUGGGUAAGGUACCAGCUUAUUUCGUCAGGCUUCAGUUGUCCUAUUUUUCCGUGUGUUUGUUUUUUCACUCUCCCAGGCUGUCUUUGAGGAAUGGAAGUACUGCUCUCAGGGAAAUCCCACCCCACAGACUCUAGGCUCUUCUGGACAUCAAAGAGCCUGGAGCAGUCCAUCCCUUAUCUGGAUGUGGGCACAGAUUGCCACUAAAUUCUUCCCUUCGCAGCUACCCUUGAGGGUCUGUGGUAAUAGAAAGGAGCAGCGCUGUAAUGCACGAGAAAUCUUCUAAGCGACUGAACCCAGAAUGUUACCAUCUGCAUGUACUUCUUAUUUUUUGGAUCAGCAGAUGUACUGCUCCAACAAUUAGGGACAGCUUGCAUCCCACGGUACACAGUGGCUGACAAAUGGGGAAAGCACCUCAGAGGCUGGGACAUGAGGGGAAGGUGGGGGCUAAUUCAUCCAGCAGAUCAAUCAUUUGAAUAAUUAAUAUGUGACUUCCCUAACUCUUAAUAGCUGUAGGAGUUCACACAGACCAAUGGCCUUUAAGUAAUUAGGCUUUGAGAGGGGAAGAUUAGCAUAAACUUAAAUCUCUCUUCACUUCCCACAAGACUGGUACUCACAGUUCUCAAAUACCAAAUACUGGUGACCUGGGAGUCUGGAGGGUGGGAGAAAGGAGUAGGAUGGUUUCCUCAGCUGGUAAAAGAGUUCUGAGUAUUCUGAGUUCGCCUGUGAGGCCACUCCGCACACAUGCUUGGUUUAGUACGUUUCACACUUUCAGAACUCUGUUGUAGCUACACACGUGCACUUGAUCCUGAGACGCGCUGGUACAUCAACAACGGGCUAGGUAGGUUGAGGAAGAAGCUGGGGAUUGGGGUGACCAGGGCUUGGCAAACUGAUGUGGCUGCACAGCGAGUUCCAGGAGGCUCUGAGGAUCCACACCUGAGGAAGUCAGAUCUGGUGGGUGGCAACCAGGCUUCCUGCCAACGUUUGUUGGGCCCAGGUAACAACACAAAUAGAGACUCAUGUACCAUAUGUCUAAAUAAUUAAAGUGUAAAAUCAAGCUAGCAAACGGUUAAAUAAAACACAUCCUCUCUGCUUUAACUAGUUUCAUCACAACAAAGAGAACAUACUUUCAUGACAACAAAAUAAAAAAAAUCCAUAAAGCUGUGGUUUUUAAAUGAGUGAAAGCCAGCAAAACAGCAAAUACGAUUGAAUGUAAUUAUCACUGGAAAUGUAAACUCAGGGAAUAUUAAUUUCAAUUUCCUUGGGUUUUUUCUUUCUGGUGGUUCAUCAAUAUAUAUAUUACUUGUUUCCAUGACUUUUAAAAUCUAAUAUAUUACUUUUAUAAUAAUAAAGAAAAAGAAAUAUACUACUUUUGAUUAUAGUUUGUAAUAUAAUCUAAUUAAAUUGAGUAAGAUUUACUUCUAAAUAUGUUGUGUAUGAGUUCUCUUACUUUAAAACAAAUUAAUAAUCUCAUUUUGCAUUCUCCAUUCUAUAUGGUGAUCAUCUGAUGCAUUUUUAAACCUAUAUUAUGUGUUGAAUAUUUUCGCAUCACAUUUUGAAAUAAUUUCUACGAAACCUAGAAAAUUUCCAUUAUUUUCUGUAAAUUUUGAGCUGUCAUUGCCACAAAAAGCAUCAUGUUUGAUUAAGUAUUGGAGAUAAAUUUUAUUUUAUAAGGACAUCCUACAUCAUAUAAGAACAUCAUUUGUCUCUGUUGAAUACUAUUUUUGUUUGGCCCUUUAUUCAGUCUUUAAAAAAAUUAAUUCUAGUAGUCGUGUAUGCAUUUUUUUUUGUGUGCACAAGUGAUAUUUCACUUUAGUCAAGAACCUAAGUGUUUCCAGGCACAAACACCUUAACUGGCCCAAACUGAUCUUGUGGACUGGUUAUAGAACUCUGUCACAGCAGUAAUAAAAUAUUUGCUACCUAGGAUGUAAAAACAUAUAAAAACUAUUUCUACAAUUUCUUUCUCUAUCUAAAAUAAUUUUGCUGUAAAAUUAAAUACUAAAUUUUCUGCCAUGUUCAGGCAAUGGAAAAUUGUAAUCAUUAAUUUGAAUUGAAUUGCAUUUUGCUGGGAACAUAUUUAUGCUGUCAGAAUGUGACAGCCAUUUUUCAGGAUCUCUAUCCAAUAAGCGUAGUAAAGCUCCAGAGGUUUUUCGGUUUUCACAUUCAAUUGCAGCUCUUAUAAAUGCAAUUUUCUUCAUAUGCUAAUGGACAGGCAAGAAUUGCAUUUGGCUUUCUGAGUUAUGACUUUAUUAUGAAUAAUUCUUUUGUUGUUUUCAUUGUUUUAGUCAAUAAUUAAGUCUGCAUUUAGUGAAGAAGAUGAAGUUGCAGGAAUUUCAUCCGAGGUUUCAAAUUGUGGGUUGGAAGAUAUUUUUGUUCAUUUUCAUUUGAUUAGUAGUGAAAUCUUUAUUAAACAAAGAAUGUGUAAAGUCCUGUCUGCAAACUUUAAGUGGGUCACACUCAAGAGAAGUCUGCCCCUCCCAUUGUUUCCAGUUUUUAGACAUUUAAGAAGACUAUGUUCUAUUUCAUUUUCCUUCAGCCUUUUUCUUCUCUGAGCUCCACUUUUGUAUUUUCUAUCUCUAUGGUGAUCUUGACUUGUACUCAUUUUCAAAAUUAUUUAAAUAAAGCUGAAAUUAAUAUCUAAAUUGUUGGAAAAUUUACAUCUUAUUAAAAUUUUUAUAAAGAACUAUAAUUCUAGCAUUCAAUGUGCAUCUAGUUGAUGAUUCAUAUAAUGUUUAUAUAGUGUUGCAUCAAGACCUGCAUUUAUACAAAUCUGAGUUAUAUGAGUUAUGUAAUGUUACAAAAUAUUCCUUAGCUGUCAUUUGCAACUGUUGCAAACACCAGAACUAUGCACCACUGGGAAAAGAUACCUUGUUAUGCAAGAAUCUACUGCAUUCAUGCCAGCUGAGAUGAAAGAUUUGACAACUUAAUAGAUUUGUCUUUUUUUCUUAAGUGCUUCCUCCUCCUUGCACUCUGAAGCAGUGUCUAGCUCUCUGUUAGCAGCACUGCAACUUAGAAACCUUCAUGCCAUUAGAUUUCAGUCCUUUUUGUUCCAAGGACAUAGGGCGAGAAAUGUUAACAAAGCAAUUUCUUAGGACCUCAACAGUGUAAGUGAUGGGAACAAAUGUUUAGGGUUUAUGGAGUGUGCCGUGCCAGUCCUGAGUGCCAAAUCCCCACUGACGGGCCCCCUUACAUUCCCUCAUACACCUGUUGUGUGUGUGAUAUGUGGGAUCCUCCAAAGCUCAAGGUCUAACCCCCUUUGCCUGGGUUAAGGGCAAUAGUGGCCAAUUUGGUUGUUGUCUUAGGAACUAGUGAGAGAUCUUUGCAGAGUAGGAUCCCUUUGGGAGUGGGGAUCUCCCAGACUAGAGACUGGGAGAAAGGAGCCACCCCAGGGGAGAUUUGGGAGAGAAGGCAGAGGCAGAUAGACCAUGAGGCUAAUGAAGCUUAAGCUUCAAGGUCCCGCCCUUGCACAGAUUGCUCCAAGACCCAAGCCUGAUUUUGUGUUCUUUUCCUUAAAGCUGGCCCCCAGCUCGCAAAACUUAAGGUUGAAAGACUUAAGGUGGGAAGCCAGGGCCCAAGCUAGACAGGUUCAGGGUGAUUCAGGGCAGGUGCCCUUCCAGCAGCGUCCAAGAGUACUCAACAGGAACCAGGGGCACUAGAAGCAGAAGGUCUCCGCCACUCAGCUGGGUCUCACAGUGACAUCAAAAACUGCGGUAGCGAGAUUCAUACAAAUCUCUAGAGCAGUGCUGAUCCGUAGAAAUAUAAUGCAAGUCACAUGUGUAAUUUUAAAUUUCCUAGUGGCUAGGUUUAAACAAGUUAAAAUAAACAGGUGAAAGUAAUUUUAAUAAUGUUUUUUAGGUAACCCAAUGUAUCCAAGACAUUAACCAAGUCCUUAAAAUCUAGUGGGUAUUCUACACUUACAGCACAUCUCAGUUCAGACUAGCCAUGUUUCAAUUGCUCCACAGCCCUAUGUGGCUAGUGGUUACCACAUUGUCAGCACAGCUCUAGAUAACCCCUCAGCCUCUACCGUCCAGACAAUGCUGGCUGGGGCACUGUAUUAGUAUCCUAUUGCUGCUGUAACAAGUUACCUUAAAUUUAGCAGCAUAAGACAACACAGAUUUAUUCUCUUACAGUUUUGGAAGUCAGAAGUCCAAAAUGGGUUUUACUGGGCUAAGAUAUGGGUCAGGCUGCC
rnacentral:lncRNA from 1 species